GAGUUUGAAAAUAUUAAAGGUUGUGCUAUAAUCAAUUUAGCAGGUGACGGGAAGUCCGGUGAAAAUCCGGCGCUGCCCCCGCAACUGUGAGCUGGACGAAAGCCCUUUCGUGCCACUACCGAGCAUCUAAAGUAUUUUAGGUGCAUGGUGGGAAGGCGGGCGAGUAGGAUGAAGGCGAGCCAGGAGACCGGCCUGCAAAAAAGACCUACG
rnacentral:ncRNA from 2 species